UACGUAGGGGGCAAGCGUUGUCCGGAAUCAUUGGGCGUAAAGCGCGUGUAGGCGGCCCAGUAAGUCCGCUCUGAAAGCCCGGGGCUCAACUCCGGGAGGCGGGUGGAUACUGCUGGGCUCGAGUCCGGAAGAGGCGAGUGGAAUUCCUGGUGUAGCGGUGAAAUGCGCAGAUAUCAGGAGGAACACCGGUGGCGAAGGCGGGUCUCUGGGCCGAUAUUGACGCUGAGGAGCGAAAGCGUGGGGAGCGAACAGG
rnacentral:rRNA from 1 species